GGCCGGGGCCGGGAAAGAUCCUCGGAGUGCAGACCAUCGGCAGGCUGGACCAGGAUACGACGGGACUGUUGCUGCUGAGCGAUGACGGCAGUUUCAUCCACCGCGUGAGUUCUCCGAAGAAACAAAUACAAAAGACUUACAGAGUGCACGCCAAGUAUGAUCUUUCUCAACAGCAGAAGGAUCAGCUGCUGAAAGGCGUCGUCUUGAACGAUGAUCCAAAGCCAGUGAUCGCUGCGGACUGUGUGCUGCAGGAAGGUUCGAUCUUCGACCUCACGGUCACGGAGGGCAAGUACCACCAGAUCAAGCGGAUGGUAGCUGCCGUGGGCAACCGUGUCAGCAANNNNNNNNNNNNNNNNNNNNNNNNNNNNNNNNNNNNNNNNNNNNNNNNNNUGGGGGGACCACCCUCCAAGCCUAAGUACUCGUGCAUGACCGAUAGCGAACCAGUACCGUGAGGGAAAGGUGAAAAGCACCCCGACAAGGGGAGUGAAAGAGAACCUGAAACCGAAUGCCUACAAACAGUGGGAGCCAUCAUUGGUGACCGCGUACCUUUUGUAUAAUGGGUCAGCGACUUAGUCUGGCGAGCGAGCUUAAGCCGAUAGGUGGAGGCGUAGCGAAAGCGAGUCUGAACAGGGCGUUCAGUUCGUCGGAUUAGACCCGAAACCGAGUGAUCUAGCCAUGAGCAGGCUGAAGGUGCGGUAACACGCACUGAAGGGCCGAACCCGCAUCUGUUGCAAUAGAUUGGGAUGACUUGUGGCUAGGGGUGAAAGGCCAAUCAAACUCGGAAAUAGCUGGUUCUCCGCGAAAUCUAUUUAGGUAGAGCGUCGGAUGAAUACUCCAGGGGGUAGAGCACUGGAUGGGCUAGGGGGACUCACCGUCUUACCAAACCCAAUCAAACUCCGAAUACCUGGAAGUACUAUCCGGCAGACACACGGCGGGUGCUAACGUCCGUCGUGAAGAGGGAAACAACCCUGACCGACAGCUAAGGUCCCCAAGUUAUGGCUAAGUGGGAAAGGAUGUGAGAAUCCCAAAACAACCAGGAUGUUGGCUUAGAAGCAGCCAUCAUUUAAAGAAAGCGUAACAGCUCACUGGUCUAGAUUUAAGGGUUCUUGCGCCGAAAAUGUAACGGGGCUCAAGCCAUACACCGAAGCUUCGGGUUUACGCCUCUGGCGUAAGCGGUAGCGGAGCGUUCCCUAGGCCGUUGAAGGAGGACCCGUGAGGGCCUCUGGAGGUAUGGGAAGUGCGAAUGCUGACAUGAGUAACGAUNAAGGGUGUGAGAGACACCCUCGCCGAAAGUCCAAGGGUUCCUGCUUAAAGUUAAUCUGAGCAGGGUGAGCCGGCCCCUAAGGCGAGUCAGAGAUGCGUAGCUGAUGGGAAGCAGUUAAUAUUCCUGCACCGUCGUUAGAUGCGAUGGGGGGACGGAUCGCGGAAGCUUGUCCGGGUGUUGGAUGUCCCGGUUACUGUGUCAUAGAAGGCUGUUAGGCAAAUCCGGCAGCGUAAUUCAAGGGUGUGAGACGAGCGAACUUGUUCGCGAAGCAAUCGGAAGUGGUUCCAAGAAAAGCCUCUAAGCUUCAGUCUAACGAGACCGUACCGCAAACCGACACAGGUGGGCGAGAUGAGUAUUCUAAGGCGCUUGAGAGAACUCGGGAGAAGGAACUCGGCAAAUUGGUACCGUAACUUCGGGAUAAGGUACGCCCUUGUAGUUUGACUGGCCUGCGCCAGAAGGACGAAAAGGUUGCAAUAAAAUGGUGGCUGCGACUGUUUAAUAAAAACACAGCACUCUGCAAACACGAAAGUGGACGUAUAGGGUGUGACGCCUGCCCGGUGCUGGAAGAUUAAAUGAUGGGGUGCAAGCUCUUGAUUGAAGUCCCAGUAAACGGCGGCCGUAACUAUAACGGUCCUAAGGUAGCGAAAUUCCUUGUCGGGUAAGUUCCGACCUGCACGAAUGGCGUAACGAUGGCCACACUGUCUCCUCCCGAGACUCAGCGAAGUUGAAAUGUUUGUGAUGAUGCAAUCUACCCGCGGCUAGACGGAAAGACCCCAUGAACCUUUACUGUAGCUUUGCAUUGGACUUUGAAUCAAUCUGUGUAGGAUAGGUGGGAGGCUUUGAAGUAGGGACGCCAGUUCCUAUGGAGCCAUNNNNNNNNNNNNNNNNNNNNNNNNNNNNNNNNNNNNNNNNNNNNNNNNNNUCAGCGAAGUUGAAAUGUUUGUGAUGAUGCAAUCUCCCCGCGGAAAGACGGAAAGACCCCAUGAACCUUUACUGUAGCUUUGUAUUGGACUUUGAACGGAUCUGUGUAGGAUAGGUGGGAGGCUUUGAAGUGAGGACGCUAGUUCUCAUGGAGCCAACGUUGAAAUACCACCCUGGUGCGUUUGAGGUUCUAACCUAGGUCCCUUAUCGGGAUCGGGGACAGUGCAUGGUAGGCAGUUUGACUGGGGCGGUCUCCUCCCAAAGCGUAACGGAGGAGUUCGAAGGUACGCUAGGUACGGUCGGACAUCGUGCUAAUAGUGCAAUGGCAUAAGCGUGCUUAACUGCGAGACUGACAAGUCGAGCAGAUGCGAAAGCAGGACAUAGUGAUCCGGUGGUUCUGUAUGGAAGGGCCAUCGCUCAACGGAUAAAAGGUACUCUGGGGAUAACAGGCUGAUACCGCCCAAGAGUUCAUAUCGACGGCGGUGUUUGGCACCUCGAUGUCGGCUCAUCUCAUCCUGGGGCUGUAGCCGGUCCCAAGGGUAUGGCUGUUCGCCAUUUAAAGAGGUACGUGAGCUGGGUUUAAAACGUCGUGAGACAGUUUGGUCCCUAUCUUCCGUGGGCGCUGCAGAUUUGAGGAAGCCUGCUCCUAGUACGAGAGGACCGGAGUGGACACACCUCUGGUGUAUCGGUUGUCACGCCAGUGGCAUUGCCGAGUAGCUAAGUGUGGAAGAGAUAACCGCUGAAAGCAUCUAAGCGGGAAACUCGUUUCAAGAUGAGAUCUGCCGGGGCCUUGAGCCCCCUGAAGAGUCGUUCAAGACCAGGACGUUGAUAGGCUGGGUGUGGAAGGCGUGCAAGCGCUUAAGCUAACCAGUACUAAUUGCUCGUGCGGCUUGACCCU
rfam:Oryza sativa (indica cultivar-group) chromosome 10, whole genome shotgun sequence.